GGCGAACGGGUGAGUAACACGUGAGGAACCUGCCCCGAAGACCGGGACAACAUCGGGAAACCGUUGCUAAUACCGGAUGCCCUCGAAGAAUCGCAUGGUUCAUCGAGGAAAUGGAUUCCGCUUCGGGAUGGCCUCGCGGCCUAUCAGCUUGUUGGUGAGGUAACGGCUCACCAAGGCAUCGACGGGUAGCUGGUCUGAGAGGAUGUCCAGCCACACUGGGACUGAGACACGGCCCAGACUCCUACGGGAGGCAGCAGUUAGGAAUCUUGCGCAAUGGACGAAAGCCUGACGCAGCGACGCCGUGUGCGGGAAGAAGGCCUUCGGGUUGUAAACCGCUUUCAGGAGGGACGAAGCCACUCGGGUUAAUAGCCCAGAGGGUGACGGUACUUCCAGAAGAAGCCCCGGCUAACUACGUGCCAGCAGCCGCGGUAAUACGUAGGGGGCUAGCGUUGUCCGGAUUUAUUGGGCGUAAAGCGCGUGUAGGCGGCCGGCUAGGUCUGGUGUGAAAACUCGAGGCUCAACCUCGAGAUGUCGCCGGAAACCAGUCGGCUAGAGUCCGGAAGAGGAGAGUGGAAUUCCUGGUGUAGCGGUGAAAUGCGCAGAUAUCAGGAAGAACACCUAUGGCGAAAGCAGCUCUCUGGGACGGUACUGACGCUGAGACGCGAAAGCGUGGGGAGCGAACAGGAUUAGAUACCCUGGUAGUCC
rnacentral:rRNA from 1 species